rnacentral:rRNA from 1 species
AACGAACGCUGGCGGCAUGCCUAACACAUGCAAGUCGAACGAGACCUUCGGGUCUAGUGGCGCACGGGUGCGUAACGCGUGGGAAUCUGCCCUUGGGUUCGGAAUAACAGUUAGAAAUGACUGCUAAUACCGGAUAAUGUCUUCGGACCAAAGAUUUAUCGCCCAGGGAUGAGCCCCGCGUAGGAUUAGCUAGUUGGUGAGGUAAAGGCUCACCAAGGCGACGAUCCUUAGCUGGUCUGAGAGGAUGAUCAGCCACACUGGGACUGAGACACGGCCCAGACUCCUACGGGAGGCAGCAGUGGGGAAUAUUGGACAAUGGGCGAAAGCCUGAUCCAGCAAUGCCGCGUGAGUGAUGAAGGCCUUAGGGUUGUAAAGCUCUUUUACCCGGGAUGAUAAUGACAGUAUCGGGAGAAUAAGCUCCGGCUAACUCCGUGCCAGCAGCCGCGGUAAU